rnacentral:tRNA from 2 species
GGAACUUUAGCUCAAUCGGUUAGAGCCGCGGACUCAUAACCCGCUGGUUCCGGGUUCAAGUCCCGGAGGUUCCA